rnacentral:lncRNA from 1 species
CGCGCCGUCAUGGCGGCCGCCGCCUCUGCCGUUGCCAUGGCGAAGCGGAAGUGACCUCACGACGCAAGGGACGCUCAGAGCGGGCGGGAACCCGGCCGGGGGGAGGGGGCCGCGCAUGCGCAAUGCGCCCGCGCCGCCUGAGGGGGCACAAAAUGGCGGCCGGGGGUGGGGGCGUUGUCCUGUCGUCACGUCGCGAUAUCGCCACAACGCGUCGCGGGUUGGGGCUGCUGGGCGGGAAUGCGGCUCCCCGCGCCCUCCCGCGGCUCCUGAGAGGGGUUGGGGCUGGUGCGCGGCUCCCAGCAGCGCCUCAGGAGCUGCGGUCGCUUCAGGUCCAUCGGGUACCUUUAUUCAUUUUUUCUGGAGGGAUUUGCUGAUCGCUCGCAUUCACAUGAUCGUCUGAGUCAGAGACAGGAGACACAGCCACGCUGAGCACGAGCAGCGGAGAUCAGAACUUUUACUAGCACGUGUUUUCAGGCAUGAGCUCAAAAUCAAGCCUUUCCUUCACUCCCAAACUACCAAACUUUGAAGUUUUGCUGGUAAUAAGUCCUGCAGCCUAAGAGUUCAAUCGUGCAGCUGUAAGUAGUGUUGGCUCUCAUCGUUCUUCAGGGAUAUCUUCACUAAAACGCUUGUUUCUUUCACAGAUGUGCCUCCCCCUGGAAUCGCGGGGAAGGAGGAUGGAAGCUAGGACAGGUCUAGGUUCCAACACUUCUGAGACUGGCGCCAUGAGACAAAAUUCUUCACCCCGACCCCCCACAUCAGAAGGUUGUGGCAGAGAUCAGCUGCUCUGUUCCUCUCCUUUCUGUCUCUCAAGCUUUAAAGAGCAAAGAGUAACCGCAGAAAGGGAGCGCAGCACAAAAGAGGGGUGAAUGAUCCCAGCACGAAAUGAUUAUCACAGACAUGUAGGGUUUAUUUUAGGGCUGCCCCAGGAGCUCAUUUACAAAUUUCAGUGGAUCUGGCCACAAAGCUGCAGCCAGCUCUGAAAAACUCCACGUCGGAACAAUUUCCCUACUGUAAAAAGAAGAAAAUGUGAAUUUUUGUUGCUGAAAAAAAUACUGUUCGUUUUUUUUACUACUGGGACAAGACUUGAGCCUUUAACCCAGCCGGAAUAUUUAAAGAGGAACUGAAAAUAAAUUUGAGUUUUGAGACUUUUUGCUAAUUCA